GAAGCGAAAAGAGUGACCGCGGAAAAUCCGAGGAAAGUCCGGACUCCAUGGGCAGGGGCGCUGGGUAACACCCAGGGAGAGUGAUCUCCGGAAAGGGCCAUAGAAAAUUAGACCGCCUUCGGGCAAGGAUGGAAAGGUGAGGUAAGAGCUCACCGGCUGUCGGGUGACCGGCAGGUCAGGUAACCCCCGUCUGGAGCAAGUCCAAGCAGAAAGGGUCUGAGGAUGCCCACCGAUUCCCUUUCGGGUAGGAUGCUUGAGGGUCAUGGUAACAUAACUCCGAGAUAGAUGGUCACGAGAACAGGAUCCGGCUUACGUUUUCGCUUCCCGG
rfam:Mesotoga prima MesG1.Ag.4.2, complete genome.